AGUGAUAGAGGGAGAAUUGCAAAAAAAAAAAAAGUUUCCAAUGGUGGUUGGUGUGGCGGUGGAGGCCAUAUAGUGUACGUUAAAAAAAUCUGCUUUAAUUAGGAUUCACUUUUGAGAUAUUAAUUUUAAAAAAAAUGCAUUUGUUGAUAGUGGAUUUAUGGCAUUAUACAUGGGAGGCAGUUUUCUCAUAUGGUAACAAAAUCCCACCCCCUUUUUCCUUACUAUAUAUCUUUCUAUAUUCUAUAUAUAGAAGCGUUCUACGUUCACCUCUUUAGUUUGAAUUUGUCCAUCUAUCUCUCUCUCUCUCUCUAUCUCUAUAUAUGUGUGUGAUUGUGUGCCUUGUGUUUCACCAGAUUAAUUCGUUCUCUUUGCAAGAAGAUCAAUAGAGGAUUUGAGUCACUCAUCAAUGGAAGCAAGAAACGGAGUCGAAAGGGAAGGGAGAUGCAUCAAAGAAGAAGGUGACAUGGGUUAUGCCUGGCUCCCUGUAUGCCACAAGCAAAGACCAAUCUUUCGUUUUAGAUUGGCUGUUGCCGGUGGCGUGCGAGGAGCCAAGCAUACUCUCUCUUUCUCUAUCUGUGUGUAUGCGUGCGUGCGUGCGUUGAUCAUUCUUCUGCUAAACUUUUAUGUAUUACUUCGAUGCUUCUACAUGUCCUUCUGAUAUUUAUUUUCCCUUGUUCAUAGAGUAUUUUCUCAUCUUGAAAACCAGGUAUGAUCAAUUAUACAGAAAGCCUUUUAUUUUGUUCGAAAAAAUGAAAGCAAGAAGCACUUUUGUAUCCAUUGAUCACCAGAAUUUUGUUUAUCAAAACAAAUAAUAUAUGCCCCAGAUCACUGCUUAUUCUUUGCAUGUGCAUCAGGUCUAAGAGAACUCACAUGUAUACUGCUUGCAAAUUAAAUGGUUUCAGCAUGAUCAUCGCAAUUAAGAGAGGAAUAUUGAUGGUGUGGCCUCUCUUCUUGCAAGGAAUAUAUUUCUCCCAUGAACUUUAAUUUGAUGAUUCGAUUCCCACUUAGCUACCAUUCUAUGCAGCAGAAAAGCUUAAGGGCCAUACUCUGAUCAAGAACUACUUUCUCAAGGCUCGGAGAGAGCAUCAUUGUAAUUUGCUCAUGUUUUUAUUCCUCCAUUGUGCUUUACAGUGUAACCUUUUUUCCUCAACUACGGAAGAACAUUAAUAUUUUUUUCCUGGGCCUGUGUACAUAUUUAUAUUUGUAGUUAAACUUUAGUUGCUCAUUUGUUA